CCUACGGGAGGCAGCAGUGAGGAAUAUUGGUCAAUGGCCGAGAGGCUGAACCAGCCAAGUCGCGUGAGGGAAGACGGCCCUACGGGUUGUAAACCUCUUUUGUCGGAGAACAAAACCCGGGACGUGUCCCGGACCGCGUGUAUCCGAAGAAAAAGCAUCGGCUAACCCCGUGCCAGCAGCCGCGGUAAUACGGAGGAUGCGAGCGUUAUCCGGAUUUAUUGGGUUUAAAGGGUGCGUAGGCGGUCCGUUAAGUCAGCGGUAAAAUUGCGGGGCUCAACCCCGUCGAGCCGUUGAAACUGGCGGACUUGAGUUGGCGAGAAGUACGCGGAAUGCGCGGUGUAGCGGUGAAAUGCAUAGAUAUCGCGCAGAACUCCGAUUGCGAAGGCAGCGUACCGGCGCCAGACUGACGCUGAGGCACGAAAGCGUGGGGAUCGAACAGGAUUAGAUACCCCAGUAGUC
rnacentral:rRNA from 1 species